GGGUGCAUAGCUUAGUGACAGAGCCCAUGCUCUGCAUUCAGAAGGUCUCAGGUUCAAUCCCUGGUAUAUCCA